rnacentral:sRNA from 2 species
UGAUAGCCCUGAUUGAAGCGGCAUCCUUUUUUGUUGCGGCCCGAGCAACGAGAAGGCCAUAACAAAAAAGAUAUAGCGGAAAGCAGGAAACAGC